rnacentral:rRNA from 1 species
AUUGAACGCUGGCGGCAGGCCUAACACAUGCAAGUCGAACGGUAACAUGAAACCGCUUGCUGUUUCGCUGACGAGUGGCGGACGGGUGAGUAAUGUCUUGGAAACUGCCUGAUGGAGGGGGAUAACUACUGGAAACGGUAGCUCAUACCACCUAACGUCGCAAGAUCAAAGUGGGGGCUCUUCUGGCUUCUGGUCAUCGGAUGUGCGCAGAUGGGGUUAGCUAUGAGGUGGGGUAACGGGUCACCUAGCAGACGAUCCCUAGCUGGUCUGAGGGGAUGACCAGGCACAGGGGAGCUGAGAAGCGGUCCAGAAACCGACGGGAGGCAGCAGUGGGGAAUAUUGCGCAAUGGGCGGAAGCCUAAUGCAGCCAAGCCGCGUGUAUGAAGAAGGCCUUCGGGUUGUAAAGUACUUUCAGCGGGGAGGAAGGGAGUAAAGUUAAUGCCUUUGCUCAUUGACGUUACCCGCAGAAGAAGCACCGGCUAACUCCGUG